rnacentral:rRNA from 1 species
GACGGAGGGGGCUAGCGUUGUUCGGAAUUACUGGGCGUAAAGGGCGCGUAGGCGGCUCUUCAAGUUAGGCGUGAAAGCCCUGGGCUUAACCUAGGAAUAGCGUUUAAUACUGGAGAGCUAGAGAUUGGUAGAGGGAAAUGGAAUUCCUAGUGUAGAGGUGAAAUUCGUAGAUAUUAGGAAGAACACCAGAGGCGGAAGGCGGUUUCCUGGGCCAAUACUGACGCUGAGGCGCGAAAGCGUGGGGAGCAAACAGG